rnacentral:rRNA from 1 species
GACGAACGCUGGCGGCGUGCUUAACACAUGCAAGUCGAACGGAAAGGCCCUGCUUGCAGGGUACUCGAGUGGCGAACGGGUGAGUAACACGUGGGUGAUCUGCCCUGCACUUCGGGAUAAGCCUGGGAAACUGGGUCUAAUACCGGAUAGGAGCCAUUUUUAGUGUGAUGGUUGGAAAGUUUUUUCGGUGUAGGAUGAGCUCGCGGCCUAUCAGCUUGUUGGUGGGGUAAUGGCCUACCAAGGCGGCGACGGGUAGCCGGCCUGAGAGGGUGGACGGCCACAUUGGGACUGAGAUGCGGCCCAGGCUCCGACGGGAGGCAGCAGUGGGGAAUAUUGCACAAGGGGCGCAAGCCUGAUGCAGCGACGCCGCGUGGGGGAUGACGGCCUUCGGGUUGUAAACUCCAUUCGCUAGGGACGAAGCUUUUUGUGACGGUACCUAGAUAAGAAGCACCGGCUAACUACGUG